UUCCCACCACCUGAGUGGAGACAGACAGGAAAGCCAUGCUGAUGAGAGCAGGGCAAAUAAAUGUAAGGAAGUGUUGGUAACAUCCCUUGAAACUCCGGGCCCAACUAUGCCAGAGACAAAACUCACUAUCCCUUUUCCACUUAAUUCAGUUUAAGGACUUUUGCCCAUUUGCAAUCAAAAGCAUUUUCGCUAAUACAGCAGUUUUAACUGCUUUUCCAUUAAACAUUUUUUAUUGGAAUUUAUAUAAAAGCCAAAUAAUAAGGGUUGAGUUUCUCAUUAAAGACACACAGGCAUAAAGGAGAAGCAAGACAGAUCCACAGAGUAUGCUUAAGUGUCCAAUAUUUCUCGUAAAGUUUAACCCACCUUUUUUUUUCUUUUUUAAGAAAAUCAACUUACAACCAAUCAUACACACUCCAGAAAAGUUUUCUAGGUGGUCAACCUUAGGGACUUCUACUUCCUGUACCAAGAUGAUUUUUAAAAGAAAAUGUAAAACUUGUUAUUAUUCUACAGUAUGUCAAAUCCCUUGCUCAUUACAAAUUGGAUGGAAUAUUGCUGCAAAUUUUCACAAUAUGGUACAGUCACUGACAUCCCAUCAAUUUGAAAUAUUAAAAAACUCACCUCCAUCACAUUUAAUAUAAUUCUUCCGUAUAACCAAAUCAGUUAAUGUAGAAAAGGCCACAUUCACCUUCCAACAUUUGGAAUAGAAAGGCCCAGGUUAAAAUGUGUCUUCUCCAAAAGAAGGAAUCCAUAUCAUUCAAAUAUGUAUUUAGAGUGAAAUCCAAAUACUUCUUGGUAUUGGCCAGUUUGUUUAACUUCUGGAUUAUCAAGACAUUCAAAUUAUCCUUUUAUAAAUGAAGUAAAAUCAAAUUAAGAUUAAAGACAGAACGUUAGUCAUACAAGAAGGGCCACUUUCCAAUGGCUGAUGUGCUUUACACAAGCAUAGGACAUACUUAAGAGAACAUGGCCUCCCUGAGGAGGGGAUUAAGGAUACAAACCCAGGAAACAAAGAAAAUAAAAUAAGGUGCUACAAGGAGUGAAGAUAUAACCGACCAGAAGCUCAUGCAGACCUUGAGUACCAGCCUCUACUUCCAUUUUAAAUAGGGUUUUGUGGGUUGUUUUUUUUUUUUUAAGAGCUCAACCCACCUUCAAAUACAUUUUAUUUGUAAGAAUACUCAGCAAAAAUCCUGUCCUUCCUUAUUAAGCAAAAUCUAAACAGAUUCUCCAAGAUACUUACAACUUCACUCACACGUCAUAAAAUCCAACUUGAAAUUGCACCUCUUACAUGAAGAAAAAAACGUGAAACGUUUUCAUUCAUAUGGCUUGUACAGUUUUAAAUUACGUUACUAUAAAUUUUAUGUCAUCCUCCCCCCCCCCCUUAAUAGGCAACCAUUUAAAAAUGUUUCUUUCCAAACAACUCCUAAGACCGAAAGGAUAAACCAUCACGAGUGCAUGUGUGCCUGCGCACAGAAGCACGAGCAUACGUGCAUGCGCACACAGAUGCACACACGCGCACAUGCACAUGAGCGCACGUACUCCUUUAUACCACGAUCAUGGUACAGCGGAUUUCCAAGUUUUCUGACUUCCACACGUUACUUCCUGAAACACUGCCUGGCUGCCUGGGGAGGUGAGUCUGCAAACACCACACCAACGAAACCUCAAACCAAGGAUGUGUCCUAGCAAGUCCUGUCUCCCCGCUCUGGGAGCAGGCAGUUUCAUUUCUACGGCUCCAUUGCACACGGGAAGACCCCCCCAGUUGGGUCCCUUGGCCCUCCUGAGUUCUCUCUUGAAUUCCAGGGCAUUGGUGCCAAGUGCCUACUUGAUAUCUCUGUGGGGCUAUUCCGCCAAAAUAUUCAAUAUCACCUCUACCUUUCCUUCGAAACCAGCUUCUCCUCUGACCUCUUUGCCUCUGCUCAAGGUCCUACCAUUUGUCCGAGGCCCAAGUUCGAACACUCUGAGUCACCUCUGCCUCCUCUCCCUCCCUUCUAAGUGAGAGAUGCUCUGUUCAGUGCCCUCCUCUCUUUCCCACCCACGUUCACAUCACCUCAGUUCGAAUCCUAACACACCUUUAUCUCGAUUGGGCAGUGGCAUCCUCCCUGGUCCCCCUAUCUCUUGUCAGGCCCUACAGUGAUCUAGUCAAAAGGUCAGAUACUUCUUCACAACUUACAACUCCAACCACACCACUGGCCCACUCCAAAGUCCUCACAAUAUGCUCAGCAGUAAAGCCGAUUGUCUUUCCAAUGGCCUUCUUCCUUGCUAAUAGAGUAUAAAAGAUCAUCUAUGCUCAUGUGACAAUGUGCCUGGCCCCCACCAGAUGACGUGGGACUGAUCUAAGCCGAUCACAGCAAUCUCCUUCUUUUUUGUUAACGACUGGCUUAGGGUGGGCAUGCGAUCCAUUUCUGAUCAAUAAACAAGAAUGCAAUGGAACUAUUGGAAAAGUUCUUAUCCCUUCUUAUUAAGAGAGGUACAGAAGAACUUUUGCUAUCACUCCCAUCCCCACCACUACCUUGCUUCCCAUUUUACAUGUGAUCAUGUGAAGAUGUGAUGUCUGGAGCUACAGCAGCCAACUUGUGACCUUGAGGAGACUGCUAAAACUUCAGGAAUGGCAGAAUAAAAAGAAAAGAGGGUUCUUAAAGACAUGAUUGCCUUCAUCCAAACUAGCCUGAGACCACCUAACUAAUGACUUCUUUGUAAGUAAACGAACGUCCUUAUGCUUUAUGCCACUGCUUGUUGGGUGUUCUGUUACCUGUAGCCCAAUCCAUUGUGACCAACAGACUCUUAAAAAGAACAAACUCCUUACCUUACCACUGGAAGGCCCUCUGUGCUGUGCUACUCACAGUGCGUCAGCAUCAUGUGGGAGCCCUAGCCUAGACCCCAGGACUCAGAAUCUCUAGGGCUAAGCCCAAGAGUCUGUAUUACAAAAAGCUCUUGAGGUUGAUUCUUGUUCAUGCUGAAGCUUGAGAAACACUGCGUAUAAUAAUAUGAUCACAGAUUACCUGUCUCCAUUCACCUACUACCCUACAUACCAUAAGGAAUAUUUUUCCAGUGACAGCAACCUCACCUCACUAGGGUUUGAGCAUCACAUUGGUCGCUUGUUUAACUUCAUCUCUUCUUCAAGUUUUCAAACUCAAAGCCUCCUGGGACUUGACAGGAAUACCAAGGGCAGAAUAUGAGGAAGUUAGAGUGGGGAGAGGAACAUGUUGCCUUGCAAGGGAACAGGUCCAAGAUUGCCAAAUUUAUUGUUUCUUAAAAGAAAGAAGGAAAGGAAGGAAGGAAGGGAGGAAGGGCUGAAAAUCCAGAUUUAUAUUGCAAAGAUUUUUAGAUACAGACAGCUACUGAAUUUUUUAAAAUAUUGGUUCAAAUGAGGUAAAGCAAGUCCUCAAGUGGACAAGUGGAUUCAGCAUCCCCCUGACAGCUUGUGACCCAAAACAGAUAGUUCUUACAACAGCUACACAUACUUUGAAUGUCGUGGCCACAUACCUCCAUUGACUUCAUCCAAAACAACUAAAAUUAAUUUUCUUUGGCUUACUGUGUAUCAGUCUCUACGGAGCACAGGGUUUUCAUCAACAUUCCACUGUGUGGGGUGUCAAAAUGGUAAGUUUAUGGACUUCAAUUAGUGUCAGCUGGACUAUUUUAUCCAUUAGUCACCAACGACUGGUUACCUAGAAGUAUAAGCUUCUCAAGGGCACACAAAAAUGUUUAAAAGGUGAGGAAAAAAAUUAAUUGGCCACACAACACACACACACACUACAAAAUUAAAACUAACAGAUGCUGACAAAAUGCAAACAUAAGUCAACUAAUCAGCAGCAACUCAGCCAUGAUAUAUUAAUACAUCACAGAACAUAAAAUGCAGGACGUGGAAGCAGCAUUUUCACGUCUGAUAUGAUGUGGAGGGGAGCCAGGUCAGCGGUGCUUAGGACCCACCAGGGUUCUGAAAAGGCCCUGAGUGUCAACCUAGAACCAAUCAUCUGUCGUAAGUCUUACGUACUUUAUAGCAAUCACAAACUUCUUUACUCAGUUCUACUACUACCCCUCCAGGUUACUUACUCCAAACGAGGAUCCCUAGCCUAAAACAAAGUUUUCAGCCAUGGCUGCACACUGGAAUCAUCUAGGGAGCUUUAAAAACACUGCUACCUGGUUCCCAUCCCCAAAGAUUCUUAUUGAACUGGUCUGAGGUAAGGGUGACCUGGAAUAUCUUUCACAAGCUUCCUCCCACCAGCUAUGACUAGAGGAUAGCCAAGGCUAAACUCCCACUGUUUUAGAAACAUUCUGAGAAACGUUCUCUGAAAUGGUAAUCUCUCCAGUCAUACCAUCUUGUUAACUACGUCUUCCUUCUACUGCCAAGUCUUGGGACAAAGGAAGACCCUGGUACAUCAAGUGCUCUGAUUAUCUAGAACAGAGAUCAGCAAACUGUUUCUGUAAAGGGACCAUACUACACGUUACAACUACUCAACCUGGACACUGAUGCACUCAAGCAGCCAUAGACAAUAUGUCAACAAGUGAGUGGGGCUGCCAGUUCUGCAACUUUAUUUAUGGACACAAAUGUGAAUGUCAUGUAAGUUUCAGUCAUGAAAUAUUUCUUUUGUUUUUCUGCCAUUUAAAAACAUAAAAACCAUUCUUAACUCACAAACCAAACAAGAACAGGCAGAUGUGACAUGUGGGCCACCGUCUGCCAGCCCCUGAUCUAGAACUGUUCCGUUGCCUUGAGACCUAACAUGAAUGAAUGAUAGAAUUCAAACUAUUCAAUUAGAAGUACACUGAAAGUGGUUAGAUUCUACUUCUUGUACUCACUCGGCUGAAUUGUCCGCAUGAUCGAACAGGAGAGUGGAACUGUCCAACCUGUUUGCAUAGUUGACCAUAAACCAUAAAUGACUUAUUAAAAAUUGAUUUUUGAACCUCAUCUGCAUAUGAGUUUAUCUAAGACAAAAACUGCAAAGAAGCAGUACACAAGCCACAGGCAUGUUUUAAGGGUCCCACAUAAGGAUUUCAGUAAUAUGUGAAUUUGCUGCCAACAUUUAGAAUUCAACAUAUCUUACAUAAAAACUCAGAUUAUCAUUCUCUUGGAAAAAUAACUGCAAAACGUGGAGACACUGGGCCCAGAUGUCGGCAUGGCAACAAUCCACAAAUGCUGAACAAGGCUACCCCUUUACAUGGGGCGUGCUCUCCACCUGACCACAAACCCUAUCUUCUGUAGGUUAAACUGGCUGUCCCGAGGAGCAUUUUGAGUUUAUGACCCCUUGUCCAAGGUUCUUAGAAAAACUUUACAUCUCUUUCACAAUAUGACUUCAAUUUCUUUUUUAAAAAUUUUUUAACGUUUAUCAUAUUUGUGAGAGAGAGAGAGCCCGCGCGCGCGAGUGUGUGAGUGAGUGGGGGAGGGGCAGAGAGGAGACACAGAAUCUGAAGCAGGCUGCAGGCUCUGAGCUGUCAGCACAGAGCCUGAUGUGGGGUUCGAACCCACAGACUGCAAGAUCAUGACCUGAGCCAAAGUCAGACACCCAACUGAGCCACCCAGGCGCCCCAUUAUCUUGCUUGAAGACCUCACAUGGAAAUCCCUCAAGUUGGAGGAGGGGGAGAGGAGAAAAUGGGUGAUGGGCAUUGAGGAGAACAUCUGUUGGGAUGAGCACUGGGUGUUGUAUGUAAGUGAGGAAUCAUAGGAGCCUACCCCCCAAACCAAGAGCAUACUAUAUACACUAUAUAUUAGCCAACUUGACAAUAAAUAAUAUGUUUAAAGAAAAAAAUCUCUCAACCUGCUCUCAAAAUUCAACACCCCCAUGCAGCAGGCCCUAAAAUGAAAUCAUUAGUUCUCACGCCAGUGCAAAGUAUCAAUUUAAGGAGAGCUGCAAUCAAAUCCUCCUCUCAAUGUAUUCUCAAUUUGAACCAUGGUCUCGAAGAAGAUAGACAAAUGACAAACUACCCUUCAGGUCUUCUAACUCUUCAUGCUAGCCAAGGUAGAGGCCAAUCCAAAGAGGUGUAGUGAAAACACUCACAUCAGAAUGUCUUAAUUAAGCAGAAUGAUCAAUAACACAUAUAGUAAUUACAAAGCAAGGUUUGGGACUGAUGGAGUAAAAACAACAAAAGACUAUUCUGCAUAGGAUAAGAAGUCAAUAGCCAGAUUUUGCAAGGACUGGGGGCUGGUAAAAAACAAAAAAAAAAAACAAAAAAAAAAAAAAACAAAAAAAAACACCUAAGAAUAUGAAGAAAAAGCUAUGAAAUAUUGAGUUUGGUCCAAGUUCAUUAUUAACCCACUGUGUGAUUUCAUCUUGUGCACGCCCACCUAAAAUAUAAUAGUUUAUUUCAGGGUGGCAGACUUCUAAUGACAUGCCAACUGAUAUGCUGCAUAUUACCUGCUUGCUGGUGAAAAGACAAACUGAACCCAGGAGAAGAAAAAUUCUAGAUACACAGACAAUGGGUCGCUAAUUCGCUUGAGCAACAUAAGGCCCCUCCCCCUUUUAAAAAUGUAGGUGUUAGUUUCAUUUGUUGGCCACAUCAGAAAAAGAAAUGUUCAAACAGUAGAUUUUCCACUUGAAAUUAAAAUGGAAAUUAGCCCUUAGAAAACAGAGAUGACUGUAAGUUUAUACAUCAGUGGCUGGUUCAUGAAUUAUUAACUGAUUUUAAUGAUCCUGGCUAUAUUUUAUUUGAAGUUAUUCUCUUACUUGCAAGGACUUUUGAACCCUCAAAACUCUUUCAUCCAUUCUCCGUAGACAGUACACUUUCUGAGCGCUGACAUUUAAAAAGGAUCCAUAUACUCACAGAAUGUAAAGAUAAUACACACACAUAUAAUUUACACAAAGGACUCUCUGGUCGUUUGUUAAAGACAGAAAUGAAUGAACCCCUAUUAUUCACGGUUUGUAAAUAAAUUUAAAGAUAAGCGCUAACUUUUCACUUGUUAAGCCUGGAGCAAAGGGUUCUGUAUUUCUUCUAAAGUUUCCCAGAUGGUCGUUAAAACAAGAAAGGGCAGAAACAUGCCUUCUUUGAAACUCAUCAUUUCCCAUCCAGAAUGAUAAUACACGGCAGCAAAAGUUAAGUCUUAAGAGAUUAAUAAAUGCAGGUAUUUCCAAGUGAAAUAAAUGUAGGUCUUUGUAUGCUAGUUUUUACAUUUUCAAUAUAGACCUAUAUUGAAUAGCACCACUCAGACACACAAGUUAGCUGUGAAACAAAAUGCUAUAAACCCUUAAUUAGCACUUGCUGCUUUAUACCCAUAAAGUUAAUACAUCGUCUUCUACUGCAUUCUCCCUAUAAAGAAAAAUUACAGGGAAUAAAACUGGGUUUUUCACUGCUGAAAUUAAGAGUAGGAAAAUAAAGUAUUGGGGCUCAAAUUAAAGACUAUUGUAUUUUUAUCUGCAAGGAAUUAAAUGCAAACAUCCCUUAAAAUAAGUACAAUUUGAUUUCUACCAAUAUGGAGCGCUGUGUCUAACUUUCGCAAAUCGGGUACACACAGCACUUAUGACCACCAGAUUGCUGAUUUACUAAGAAACCAGGUUAUUUCAGGCAAAAAACUGCAUUAAGAACAAAUGAUAGCAAACCAACUUGCAUCCUCCUCCCGAAGUUGAACAAGCAUCUCAAUAAACAAUGUCGAUUUUCAAGCUUUCUAUGCUCUCCCUGAAGUAACUACUCAGUUUAAAUGGACUCAAAAUAGCUUUUCUCAAAAAAAAAAAAAAAAGCCACACACACAAAACACCCACAAUUUCCUCUGGUCCCUUGAAGUACCCUUGGGAUCUCAGUGAACAGAGAGAUUUGCCACGCAUUGCAGUGACUGGAUUAGUACAAAAGGUUUCUAUUUUGGUGUCAUUCGAGUGUUGCUGAUCUUAAAUCAGAGAAAGAAGUUACAUUAAGCAAGGUAAUGGCUUCCAAAAAUAAGAGCAUGCCCAGUUAUCCAAGGCUUGCAUACACAGGCUAAGUUGUAAGGAGAUAAAUAAUACCCCGCCGGAACAAUUAGGUGGAUUCUCAGAAACACGACAUACUUAAUUAGGCUGCCUAAGUCCCUCACUGAGCAUACAAGGGGGACUUUUUAAAGCAUUUAAUAACCUGAGUAAGUCCAAAACCGAGGACAGAAAGUAAAACCUUAACCCUGCUACCGCGAUAGGCCUUUUCUUGCUUCCCUUUCAACGCUCAACGUACCACUCUUGGAAUUUGGAGACCAUGAACGACCCCCCCCCCCUCCAACACCACCAAAGGGUUAAAGCACACUGAAUAAUGUCCCUUCGUUCUAUACUCGUGGGGAGGCCCGCGGUGCCAGGCGCGGGGCUGGACGACGAGGACACAAGGGUGAGGCAGAGAGACCCCAAUGGUCUUUCACAAACUUCAGCACUGGAGUUGGGAACGGAGUAUAAACAAAUAGAAAGGAACAGGAGCCUCCAUCAGCCACGGGGCACAGCAAACUGUUCCUCACUCUUGAUACAAUUCCUUCUCUUCCUGUUAUUUAUUCAUUAGUUUUGUAUAGCACCUUUCUUUCAGCGGCUCCUUAUUUCCUCCUCUGUUAUCCAAGCAAUCAUAAACAAACUACGAUUUGAAAGAAAGGGGGAGGGGGGAGGAGGGAGGAGCAGGGGGAAGGAGAAAGAAAAACCACAUUCAAAAGGCACAGGCCAUCCAGAGCACUGCUCGGUCUCCGAACAUCGCCCUCGGGGUGAUAUUUCCUCCAAAGCUUGGCCCUGGGGGCUUCAGGAAACACCGAGAAGGGGAGACCGCGCCACCCAGGCCCAAGGGCUGUGACUCCCGCACCGACUCGCCGGUCCGAGCUGCGCAGCUGCCCUUCUGAGACCCACCUUCGCCCACCUGAAACGCUCCGUCCUCGAAGUUGGCGCGGGGGACCGGGGGGGGGGGGGCGGGAGGUAGGGUGACCCAGGGCGUGGUGUGGAGGUCUCCAAGCCUGAUCUCCCCGAAAUGCAAAACUUACCCCUCCCAAAAAAAUGAAAGAUGAGAAGCCACUUGCGCUAACCAGGGAGGGGCCCGGCAUCUCCGUUCCGCGGUCAAAGCGCCCCAGCGAGAGGGCAGCAAAGGCCACCUGCGGGGGUCCCAACACUUCGCGGCCCCCCCACCUCCGUUCAAUCCAGGGCACGCUCAAAAGUUUGUUCCUUUCCUUCCCCGAGCUGCCCUGGGUCCAGUUCUCUAGUGCGCGGGGAAGGAAUACGUGACUGGUUGCUCAAGAAGGACUCUCUACUGUUCUUCAAAAAAUACCUUUUUCGCUGGAAAAUGAAGCCAGUGUCACGAGGCAAUAUCAUGUCUGGCAAUGUUGCAUCUAUCUUGUCAACAUGAGGGGAUCCAGCCUCAGGUCAGAGCUGACAUACCGACAUGAGAAUGGUGAAGCAGAAACAUGCAAAGAACAUAGAUCCUUGACAAUGUCAUGAAUCUCUGAAGUAACCAACCCCGGAGCUCUUUUCCUCCUGGUUUCUAGUGAUGGGAAAUAAUACAUAUUCUUAUCCUUGGAUCCAA